rnacentral:misc_RNA from 1 species
AAGUUAAACAAAGUGAAGGACACCAGUGAAGCAACAUUAAAAAGAAUGUCAAUAAACAAAGUUGAGGAAUUGUGUACUUCUUUUAAAACUUUGACCAUCACAAUCAGUUUUGCCUAAAUAAAGACACAGCAGCAGGAAGACAAAAGGCAAGAUAUACAAAACUGAAUUAUUUUAGCUAGCAAUCUGCACUCAAGACUACCUCAACACAAUAUCAGAAGUUCCAUUUGCAUUGUUUUAUUGUGAAAGAAAUCCAAGAACAGUAAAUCUUUCCCAUUCUAAAAUAGAAGACAGCUGUUACGAUCCCACAUGGCUCGGAAACAACCUUGGUGAAAGGUUAAUAAGCCCUUAUACGCAAGCCAGUUUUCAAGUCCUUGUAUGCAAGCCAGAUAUGAGUUCUACCUAGAAGGUUCACAUGGUUCAAUUCAGCCAGCGACUCGUCAAUGGCUCAUAUCAAUUGGUAUCAGAACCAAGUGGUUGCUCACAGAGUGGUGACGGCGACUAAUCAAAGGUUCAUAUCAAUUGGUGUAGCCGAUUGGUGGCCCUCAGAGUGGUGAGAUGCUAGCCGUGAAAUGUGUAGGUGCUAGCCGUGACCAAAGUGGCCGGCUCUUUGAGUAUCAAUAUCAUGUUAUUCUUUGUGAUCGGAUAUCAUGUUGCUCACUUGAAUCUAGUCAAUUAAUGUACAAUCGAAUCCACUUCCAUUAAGUAUCAAUUUCUGCUACCAUCAAUUGAAUGCGAAUAAUAAUCAAGAUAAUUAAAAACGUCAAGUCAAGCAAAUCUUGCUCUGAUAUAAUUUUUUUUCACAAUACAGUCCAAUAAUACUCCUCAAAAACACUUUAACAACUAUAUAAGCUAAAAUUGCUCCCGAUGAUCAAAUUUCACAUCAAAUAACCAAGCAAAACAGCUCAAACAAAA